rnacentral:snRNA from 1 species
GUGCUCACUUCGGCAGCACAUAUACUAAAAUUGAAACGAUACAGAGAUUAGCAUGGCCCCUGCACAAGGAUGACACACAAAUUCGUGAAGCGUUCCAUGUUU